rnacentral:rRNA from 1 species
GUUGUCGUCAGCUCGUGUCGUGAGAUGUUGGGUUAAGUCCCGCAACGAGCGCAACCCUUAAGCUUAGUUGCCAUCAUUAAGUUGGGCACUCUAAGUUGACUGCCGGUGACAAACCGGAGGAAGGUGGGGAUGACGUCAAAUCAUCAUGCCCCUUAUGAUUUGGGCUACACACGUGCUACAAUGGACAAUACAAAGGGCAGCGAAACCGCGAGGUCAAGCAAAUCCCAUAAAGUUGUUCUCAGUUCGGAUUGUAGUCUGCAACUCGACUACAUGAAGCUGGAAUCGCUAGUAAUCGUAGAUCAGCAUGCUACGGUGAAUACGUUCCCGGGUCUUGUACACACCGCCCGUCACACCACGAGAGUUUGUAACACCCGAAGCCGGUGGAGUAACCUUUUAGGAGCUAGCCGUCGAAGGUGGGACAAAUGAUUGGGGUG